AGGAUUUGAUGCUGACUUUUGAAAUUAAUGAUUUUGAUAGGACUGAAACAGAACUUUGAAGAGAGGAAUAAAUGAGCAGUUACUGAUGAGUUCUCCUCCAUUUAAAUCCUGUGACAUGAUCCACAGCAUCACACUUAAGAAUUUAAAAACACUCAAUCACGCCUUUGAACUAUAUGGGAAAAGAUUUUUAUUAUAUUCAAGGUGAUCUGGAAGAACAGAUAAGAAAGAAAAAUUGUCUAUGGCUAUAUAUCCAGCUAUCCAAGAUGGUUGCUCCUUCUUGUUAAUGCAACUGCAAGAACCA